UUGAACGCUGGCGGCAGGCCUAACACAAGCAAGUCGAGCGCGAAAGGUCUUCGGGCUGAGUAAAGCGGCGGACGGGUGAGUAACGCGUGGGAAUCUGCCCAGUAGUGGGGGACAACAGCCGGAAACGGCUGCUAAUACCGCAUACGCCCUACGGGGGAAAGGGGGGGAUCUUCGGACCUCUCGCUAUUGGAUGAGCCCGCGUCGGAUUAGCUAGUUGGUAGGGUAAAGGCCUACCAAGGCGACGAUCCGUAACUGGUCUGAGAGGAUGAUCAGUCACACUGGAACUGAGACACGGUCCAGACUCCUACGGGAGGCGGCAGUGGGGAAUAUUGGACAAUGGGGGAAACCCUGAUCCAGCCAUGCCGCGUGUGUGAAGAAGGCCUUAGGGUUGUAAAGCACUUUCAGUGGGGAGAAAGGUUCGUCACCUAAUACGUGAUGAAAUUGAUGUUACCCACAGAAGAAGCACCGGCUAACUCCGUGCCAGCCGCCGCAGUAA
rnacentral:rRNA from 1 species